rnacentral:rRNA from 1 species
AUUGAACGCUAGCGGGAUGCCUUACACAUGCAAGUCGAACGGAGUGGCGAACGGGUGAGUAAUGUCUAGGAACGUGCCCAGUAGCGGGGGAUAACUACGCGAAAGCGUAGCUAAUACCGCAUACUAUCGGAGCGGCCGAUAUCGGAUUAGCUAGUUGGUGGGGUAACGGCUCACCAAGGCGACGAUCCGUAGCUGGUUUGAGAGGACGAUCAGCCACACUGGGACUGAGACACGGCCCAGACUCCUACGGGAGGCAGCAGUGGGGAAUAUUGGACAAUGGGGGAAAGCCUGAUCCAGCCAUCCCGCGUGUGCGAUGAAGGCCUUCGGAUUGUAAAGCACUUUUGGCAGGGAAGCGGUACCUGCAGAAUAAGCACCGGCUAACUACGUGCCAGCAGCCGCGGUAAUUC